CUGGCCCGGGACGCGCCCCUGGGGGCUCCGGCCGUGAGACUCGCGUAGUCUGUUGGGAGGUGGGGGUGGGGGACAAUGCGACGUGCGAAGAGUGGGGAAGAAAUCACGCGAUUGGCUUUGGAGUUCCACUGGGCUCGAAUCUCAGCAGUGCUUUUUAUUAACCGUGGGACCUUGGGCUACUCGGCUCUCCUUUCUGAAUGACUGUUUCCUCUUCUGUAAAAGAGGGAUGGUUAAUUCAACGAAUGUUUACUGAGCGCUUAGACGAGUGGUGCGGGUUCAAGGCUAGAGGCAGUAGAAAAGGAAAGCAAGGCUCCUGGUCUCGGGGAGCUUACCACGGGGGUGUUUGUACAUGUGUGUGUUCAUGUGCUCAGUGGUGAAAGACAAGGCAGAAAAACCGAUCAACAUCGAAAGCAACAAGGUCAUUUCAGCUUGAAAUGGGCCUAUCCAUUCUUUUCUUCUGCUCCCCUUCCUAGGAAUGUACUAAGGACAAUGACUCUGGAAGCUUCUGGGAAGGGAAUGUGGCAGAAGGUACAGGAGAUGCAGCAGGAAAUAAGACCAAUGGAGUCCUUGCCCUUCCGGAACUCAGUGUUCGAGUAGGAUGGGACAGACAAUUCACAACUAGUAACCACAAAAGAUGCUUCCAGUGUGCUGCUCUUGUUAAAAUCAUCAGCGACACUCACUUUGCUAAAUCUGAUGACCAAUCCUCCCUGCUACCUCUGACUUCUGAGUACUUCCCAUCAGCCAGAUGCUGUUGUAGGCCCUGGGGACACAGCUGUGAAUAAGAGAGGUCUUGGGGGCCGGGCGCAGUGGCUCCCGCCUUUAAGCCCAGCAUU